CAGCCGGAUCGGACGGCCGCUGCUGCAAGGCAGAGGAAAGUCCGAACUCCGCAGAGCAGUGUGCCGGAUAACGUCCGGGAGGCUGGGUUCAAGCUCAGCCGACGGAAAGUGCCACAGAAAACAUACCGCCGCGGGCCGCAAGGCCCAGGUAAGGGUGAAAAGGUGCGGUAAGAGCGCACCGCCGUCGCAGUAAUGCGGCGGGCAGGGCAAACCCCACACGGAGCAAGACCAAAUAGGGAGGGAAUUUCCGGCUUCGGCCGGGAAUACGUGCCGGCUCGGUGCGUCAAACCUUCGGGUAGGUCGCUAGAGCCGCGCAGCGAUGCGCGGCCCAGAGGAAUGGCCGUCCCGCAGGAGCAAUCCCGCGGACAAAAUUCGGCUUACACAUCCGGCUGCCAA
rnacentral:RNase_P_RNA from 1 species